AUUCAAAUUCCAAUAAUUCAGCCGUUCAUUCUUCCCAUAAUUACAAUUCUGCCACUCCUACUCCUCUUCGUCGAUCCACCCGCCGCAACCCUACUCCCUCUUCUCCGGAACACGACGAUGACGACGACGACGCCGUUGAAUUGAAUGGGAAGCGCCGAGAGAAGAAGCUUAAGCUCGUCCUUAAGUUGCCUUCAUCCCAAAAAUCGGAGCCUGAUUCGGCUUCGCUUAACUCUAAUGGGUCAGAAUCGAAAGGCGAGGAGGAUAAAGCAAAGGCUUCGUAUCACAAAAGGCGGAAAAUCAAUGCGAUCGGUGGUGGAUCUGGGUUUGGUCUCAGUGAAAAGGGAGGGAAGCCUGUUGCUGGCGCAAACCCCACAAAUAAUGUACAAGAUUCGGGACCCUCAACUCCUGUACCUGAUAAAAAGCUAUUACUGUUCAUCCUUGAUAGGCUUCAAAAG
rnacentral:misc_RNA from 1 species